ensembl:snoRNA Z30 small nucleolar RNA
CUGCGGUGAUGAGCUGUGAUUGCAUCUGACCUGGUAGUGCCCCGCCCUCCCCGGGGGGCGUCGGCUCUGAUCAGGGUGUGACUUCUGUAAUCUUCUCUCUGAGCGG